rnacentral:misc_RNA from 1 species
GAUGAAGAACGCAGCGAAAUGCGAUAAGUAAUGUGAAUUGCAGAACUCAGUGAAUCAUCGAAUCUUUGAACGCACAUUGCGCCCUGUGGUAUUCCGCAGGGCAUGCCUGUUCGAGCGUCAUUUCAACCCUCAAGCUCUGCUUAGUGUUGGGCCCUGCCCGCUGCGGCCGGCCCUAAAGACAGUGGCGGUGCCGCCUGGCCCUGAGCGUAGUACAUCUCUCGCUCCAGUGCCCGGUGGUAGCCUGCCAGAACCCCAACUCUCGUGGUUGACCUCGGAUCAGGUAGGGAUACCCGCUGAACUUAAGCAUAUCAAUAAGCGGAGGA